GGCCCGCGGGCGGGUCCCGGCGGGUCCCGGCGCCAUCAGCCCCGCAGCGGAGCAGCGCGAUGGCGGCGGGGGCGGUGGUGCUGGGGGUGGUGGCGAUCGUGGGCAUCGUGCUGAUGGUGGGGAUGCUGUUGCACGGCGACGUGACCCUCACCGCGGACGUGGGCGGUGGGCGGAGGGGAAAGUUCAGAGCACGACGGGGAGGCUUUUGCAAAGACUCCAAGUAAUUGUCCCAACGCCCUCUGAGGGACAAGGAUGAGAUUUCCAGAUGAAGUGAAAUCGUUCACCAGCAAAAGUGGCAUCGUGGAGAUAAGAAAAGGAACACCCCACCCAGAGACAGGGAGAGGAUCCAAUGAGGAACAAGGAGGCUCCAGCCCCCAGUGCAGCUGUUGGCCCGACAGCCAGGGGAGGGGAGGGAACUCGACAUGGGAAGGGUGUAAUUGCCGGGGAGUUGUAUGUCCCUCCCUCUCCAGGGGCACCCAGCUCGAGCUGAUUUCCUGCUGCACCAUCCGAAUAAAUUGUGAUUAUCAUUAA